UUUAAAUGUCACUCACCAACAUGAGAAAUAUCAACUCCAACAGAGUAUCAAGACCACAGGCCAGUCAUUUUAAAAAAUGAAAAGUGUGCUUUCUCACACAGACACACUACCAGUUUAACCAAGUCCCCAAACAAAAAUAUGAAUAGAAAUAGUAUUUUUCUUUUACUCUGACUUUAAUUAGUGGGACUUUUUUUUACAUUCCUUGCCUUGAGCAAUCUUCUUCAAAUCUAGCUUAUAUUCUCCAGUGUUGCCACUUGAACCAGUUCUUUCAAAUGCGUUUCAAUAAUAACAGAUCGAUUAUUUUUCAAAGUGACCAACUUGAGACUGCGAAGUUCAGUCCCUUUCAGAAAUUCCAGGUCGACGUUAGCGUGGAGUGAGCUGAAGCGUCGCUAAAGAUUUUAAGCUUUGAAAUGCGAUAAAGACGUCUGGCACCAAAGGCAGACUGCCCAGCCAUCGGGCUCAACAAACAAAAUAUCUCUCCUGUCAUGAUCCUGCCGCUCCAGCACGAGCUGUGCGGGUGCCCGUGCAGGUACGCUGAUUGGGAGGUGCACACCUGCGCCUCAUGCAGCCUGAUUAUGCUGUGGAUUUAUAUGACCGCGAUGACAACUGGCCGGAUCUUCAUGUCCCGUUCGUGUGCUCCGGUAUCCCUGAUCGAACCUGUGUGUACCGACCUUCGCCUGUUCUCCGACCAACCUUGUCCCAACUACCGCUGCUGCACCGGACUGCCUGCUCGAUCCCCUACCUCUGCAUAUAAUAAACGUUUCUCCUUGAACUACCUGGCAUCUUCCGAGUCCUGCAUUUGGGUCCUACUCUCGUUACGAUGGGACGUGACAUCUCCCACUUUGGAGCCGCAUGGAAAUGGGCAAAGAGCUGCAUGCAACUCGAGGCGCGGGUCUCCCAUCCCUGUAAUAAAGUGUUAAUGUAAUGCUAAAUCAGUUACAAGAUCUUUGUACAUGUACAUUACAUUAAAAAUCAAAACGGGGAUACUCUUACCUGUGAACCAGAAAUGUUACUAAUUCUGCGUUGGGUC